GUGAGGGAUGACGGCCUUCGGGUUGUAAACUUCUUUCGUACCGACGAAGCGCGAGUGACGGUAGGUACAGAAGAAGCACCGGCCAACUACGUGCCAGCAGCCGCGGUAAUACGUAGGGUGCGAGCGUUGUCCGGAAUUAUUGGGCGUAAAGGGCUCGUAGGCGGUUUGUCGCGUCGGGAGUGAAAACUCGGGGCUUAACUCCGAGCCUGCUUUCGAUACGGGCAGACUAGAGGUAUGCAGGGGAGAACGGAAUUCCUGGUGUAGCGGUGAAAUGCGCAGAUAUCAGGAGGAACACCGGUGGCGAAGGCGGUUCUCUGGGCAUGACCUGACGCUGAGGAGCGAAAGUGUGGGGAGCGAACAGGAUUAGAUACCCUGGUAGUCCACACCGUAAACGUUGGGCGCUAGGUGUGGGACUCAUUCCACGAGUUCCGUGCCGCAGCUAACGCAUUAAGCGCCCCGCCUGGGGAGUACGGCCGCAAGGCUAAAACUCAAAGGAAUUGACGG
rnacentral:rRNA from 1 species